UACGUAGGGGGCAAGCGUUGUCCGGAUUUAUUGGGCGUAAAGAGCGUGUAGGCGGCCAGGUAGGUCGGUUGUGAAAACUCGAGGCUCAACCUCGAGAUGUCGACCGAAACCAUCUGGCUAGAGUCCGGAAGAGGAGAAUGGAAUUCCCGGUGUAGCGGUGAAAUGCGCAGAUAUCGGGAGGAACACCUAUGGCGAAGGCAGCUCGCUGGGACGUUACUGACGCUGAGACGCGAAAGCGUGGGGAGCAAACAGG
rnacentral:rRNA from 1 species